GAUGAACGCUAGCGGGAGGCCUAAUACAUGCAAGUCGAACGGUAACAGGGUAGCAAUACCGCUGACGAGUGGCGCACGGGUGCGUAACACGUACACAACCUACCUUAUACUGGAGCAUAACCUCGGGAAACUGAGGCUAAUUCUCCAUAACAUAUUAAAAAGGCAUCUUUUUGAUAUUAAAACUCCGGUGGUAUAAGAUGAGUGUGCGUCUGAUUAGCUAGUUGGUGGGGUAACGGCUCACCAAGGCAACGAUCAGUAGCUGGUCUGAGAGGAUGAUCAGCCACACGGGCACUGAGACACGGGCCCGACUCCUACGGAGGA
rnacentral:rRNA from 1 species